rnacentral:rRNA from 1 species
UACGUAGGGGGCGAGCGUUGUCCGGAUUUAUUGGGCGUAAAGAGCGUGUAGGCGGCCAGGUAGGUCCGUUGUGAAAACUCGAGGCUCAACCUCCGAGACGUCGAUGGAAACCAUCUGGCUAGAGUCCGGAAGAGGAGAGUGGGAAUUCCGUGGAUGUAGCGGUGAAAUGCGCAGAUAUCGAGGAAGAACACCUAUGGCGAAGGCAGCUCUCGUGGGACGGUACUGACGCUGAGACGCGAAAGCGUGGGGAGCGAACAGG